rnacentral:rRNA from 1 species
UCAAGCUACAAAGAGCACAAGGGGAAUGCCUUGGCACCGAGAGCCGAAGAAGGACGUGACUAACUGCGAUAAGCUACGGGGAGCUGUAAGUGAGCGUUAUAUCCGUAGAUUUCCGAAUGGAGCAAUCCGAUUAGAGGAAAGUCUAAUCAUCAUAUACUGAAUACAUAGGUAUAUGAGGGGAACCGCCUGAACUGAAACAUCUAAGUAGGGCGAGGAAGAGAAAUCAACUGAGAUUCCGUAAGUAGUGGCGAGCGAACGCGGAAGAGGCCAAACCUAAUGUAGUAAUAUGUUAGGGGUUCGGACAGUAAAAUGAAUUGUCGAGAUUUAGCCGAAUGUCAUGGGAAGGGCAAUCAAAGAAGGUGAAAAUCCUGUAGGCGAAAAGUUAAGACAUCAGACUGUAUCCAAAGUACCGCCGGACACGUGAAACCCGGUGGGAAUACGGGGGGACCAUCCUCCAAGCCUAAAUACUACUCGGUGACCGAUAGAGAAGAAGUACUGUGAAGGAAAGGUGAAAAGCACCCCGGAAGGGGAGUGAAAGAGAACCUGAAACCUUGUGUUUACAAGCACCGAAAGUUCAUCAACGAACGAUCGGGUACCUUUUGUAGAAUGGUCCGGCGAGUGAAUGUAACUGGCAAGGUUAAGCACUUAAGGUGUGAAGCCGUAGCGAGAGCGAGUCUGAAAAGGGCGCAUGAAGUCAGUUGUAUUCGACCCGAAACCGGGUGACCUACCCAUGUCCAGGCUGAAGUGCAGGUAAAACUUCAUGGAGGGCCGAACCGACUCCCGUUGAAAUGGUAGCGGAUGAGGUGUGGGUAGCGGAGAAAUUCCAAUCGAACCCGGAGAUAGCUGGUUCUCUCCGAAAUAGCUUUAGGGCUAGCCUUGGAAUAGAUUACUGGAGGUAAAGCACUGAAUUGGCUAGGGGCCGAGAGGUUACUGAACCUUAUCAAACUAAGAAUGCCAGAUAAUCGUUUUCCAGGAGUCAGACAGUGGGAGAUAAGUUUCAUUGUCAAAAGGGAAACAGCCCAGACCUACAGCUAAGGUCCCAAAGUAUAGUUAAGUGGAAAAGGAUGUGGAAUUGCAUAGACAACCAGGAUGUUGGCUUAGAAGCAGCCACUCAUUAAAAGAGUGCGUAAUAGCUCACUGGUCGAGUGAUUCUGCGCCGAAAAUUUAACGGGGCUAAACUAUACACCGAAGCUUAGGAUACCGCAAGGUAUGGUAGGAGAGCGUUCUGUACGGAGUGAAGUCGUAGCGAAAGCGGCGGUGGACUGUACAGAAGUGAGAAUGCCGGAAUAAGUAGCGAGAAUUAAGUGAGAAUCUUAAUGGCCGAAAGUCUAAGGUUUUUGGAGGAAGGUUCGUCCGCUCCAAGUAAGUCGGGAGCUAAGGUCAGGCCGAAAGGCGUAGCCGAUGCACAAACGGUUGAUAUUCCGUUACCGUCUACAAUUUAAACAAAGGGACACAUACAAAGCGUUUAACCCGGGCGAUGGUUGACCCGGGCGCAAGGGACUGAAAUAAGAGUAGGGAAGUAAAUGUGGCGUAUGGCGAGAAAAGCUUUGUGAAUAGAAGUAGACGCCCGUACCGCAAACCGACACAGGUGGACAGGAAGAGAAUUCUAAGGCCAGCGGGAGAAGGGUAGUUAAGGAACUCGGCAAAUUGACUCCGUAACUUCGGAAUAAGGAGUGCUCGAAAGAGCCGCAGAGAAUAGGCCCAGGCGACUGUUUAGCAAAAACACAGGUCUCUGCCAAAUCGAAAGAUGAAGUAUAGGGGCUGACACCUGCCCGGUGCCGGAAGGUUAAGAGGAGGAGUGCAAGCUCCGAAUUGAAGCCCCGGUAAACGGCGGCCGUAACUAUAACGGUCCUAAGGUAGCGAAAUUCCUUGUCGGGU